rnacentral:lncRNA from 1 species
CCAUUUUUUACACUAUUUUUUGUAAUAUUUACCCUCAUUACCCCUUAUUAUCACUUCUUAACCCCUUACUAUCCCUUAUUAUUCCUUAUUAUCACUUAUUAACCAAUCAGCAGCCAACACACAAGCCCCGCCCCCUCACCUCUACAAAACAGCGCGCCAAUUUCAAAUCACUUCAGUUCGGUCAACCAAGGCUUCGGGGUAACACGCUACUCGCGCACAAACGUUCUAUGACGUCACCGUUGUCAUCACAACGAUUUAGUGCGGGAACUAGCGUAGAAUUACAGAAGAACAGCGGUGUAGAUUUAAAAUUCCCGCAUGACUCUUAAAUAUAAAAUUCACGCAUGCUAAACUUAAAUAAAUCUGCAUAUUCGACCUACAAAAUCCCAUCCGUCCGUACAGACGCUGCCAACGCCCUACCACACCCCAUCUCGUAAUACUAAUCCCAGUUAAAUCUACACCGGUUCCCGCACCCCCCAUUUUUUUUUAUUUUUAUUAUUAUUACUACAAACAGGUGUAUGAGCAACACUGCGAAAACCACACCACAAAGGCAUUACAAUUCCUUCAAGCCAGGGAGCACUUCCAACUUCACUCCUCAAGGGAUUUUUUCCAUCUAAAAUCCCCUCCCCCUAUCCCACCUGUGCCAAAACCAGCUUGGAUUCUGGCAGUAUACAUCCGGGAUGUGGCGGGACGAAUAGAGGAAACGAAGGCGCAAAUCACGUCAGUGUUUGGGAGCAUCUUAAAGAUGGAUUCGACAAAAAAGGUAACGUCCUGUAACCUCUGCAGAUUACUGUUUCUGAUGAAAAUAGUGCGGGCAAAUACAAAUACAUAAAAUUAUUUUUAGGGUUUUAGCCAAUGAAAAAAUGCGAACACAGUGAAAAGAAUAACAAUCUAAGAUUAUUACUAUUAUUAUAAUUACAUUCUUUUGUGUACGUUGUUAAGAAGCUAGUUGGAAAGGCCCAUAACACAGCAUCCUGGCGCACUAAAGUUGGCAAUGAGUUUGGCAAAGUAGUAAUGAUGGGUUGGUGUCAUGAUAGUACCAAGUUGGUACCAAGGGUUGGUGUCAUGAUAUGAGCAGUCUCAUAUAGAACCUCCAAAAGUUCUAUGUUGACCGUGAUUGUUGUGGCAUCAGGUUACCACAACAAUUAACUGGUUGGCCAAAUUUAUUGGCAAAGUUGGACAUCUGGCACUUCACGCGGCGGUUUGCGAUGCCCUGCUGCUCAGAGUCUCAUGCACUGUAUGGGACUUUUAUGGGACAGAUAUCGGGCUGCAUAUUCGAGUGGGACACAGUUGACCUCGAGAGGCUUCUUGGUGCAAAGUAAGAAGAACUGAAAGCCAUCGGGGUGUAUCGGGCAGCACAGGAUGACAUUACCAUGCAUGUAACAAAGAAGGAGUUGGAAUCUGCUGAGCUCAUUCAACAGUUAUAACUUAUUCAUCAGACCGUGAGAAAGACACAAUGGGAAUACCAUUUCUAAAUUAUGAUUGUGUGACAUGGCAAAUUUGGGACGAACCAACCAACCAACCAACCAACCAACCAACCAACCACCAAAUCAACAGAAUCGAAGCCAGUUUUAUUACCAGAAACGGAAAGCGGAGGAAGCGUCUGGGAUUUCUGUUAGGAAAUAGCAGCGUUCGUCCAAAUCCAUCGUAUGUGGCAAGUGCAAACAGAGCAGAGAUCCGGCUACACACAGGCAGUACUUCGGAAAUUUGUAUUGCCAGGCUACUGAGAUGACUGUCAGACCUAUGAAAGUUGGAGGGAUGCUCUGAAAGAAAAAAGAAUACAAAAAGAAAAAGGAUAAACUUUGUUAUUAUCAUCUGCAACGAACUUC